AAAAAGGAGGAAAAAGUGAGAAAAAGAGGCAGGAGGAGCCGCUCGCCAUCGCUGCCCGGCUGCGCCAUGGAGGACGCUGCGCAGGGGUCCGGCUGUGGUGGCGGUGAGGAGCCUCCCAGCCCGCUGGCGCGGGGGGGGCCGCGGGUGGAGGCGCUGCUGGCGCGGAUCCGGGCUCUGCACCGAGGU